rnacentral:rRNA from 1 species
UACGUAGGGUGCGAGCGUUAACGGAAUUACUGGGCGUAAAGCGUGCGCAGGCGGUUUUGUAAGUCAGAUGUGAAAUCCCCGGGCUCAACCUGGGAACUGCGUUUGAAACUACAAGGCUAGAGUGUAGCAGAGGGGGGUGGAAUUCCACGUGUAGCAGUGAAAUGCGUAGAGAUGUGGAGGAACACCGAUGGCGAAGGCAGCCCCCUGGGUUAACACUGACGCUCAGGCACGAAAGCGUGGGGAGCAAACAGG